AAAGCAACUGAGCAUACCAGCUGUUUGCUGUUUGCUGCAGACGCUGACUAACUUACGAGUAAAUGCUUUGUGCUGAGCGCUUCAGUUGAUUGCUUUUCUUUAGAGAAGUUUUGCUUUUUACUUAACUCAUUUUCUUCUCAUUGUCUCUUUGGCAUUGGCCACUAACUUGUUUGCUGGCUUGCUGGCUUACUUGCAACUCAGCCAACCAAUCAACUAGCCAGCUAGCAAGCUAGCCAAAUGUCUCACAGCCACUACGAUUUCGACAGUCUUAGCCUACUCGGUGUGGCGAGUACAACACAAACGCUUUGAGGUACGGUACGCGUGCGCACGUUGUCGUCGGACGGUUAAAAGUUUUAGUACAUCGAUUUUAGAUUGAAUUGGUUUGGAUUUGAUUGUGCGCGUGUGAAGUAGUGUGUGCGUGAGCUCGAAUGUGGUUCGAGUGGAAGACGAGUAUAUGUACGAGUACAACGUUGCGAAGGAAGUCGAAUAGACAACGCAACGAAACAGAGAAGUGAUAAUUUUAAAUUUAAAGAUAACCAAUAAAAAAAUAUUAAAGAAAAUAAAUUUAAUAAAACGUGAUACGCUGUAAAUUAUUGCAAAGCAAAACAUAUAAAUAUCUACUAUAAUGUCCCAACAAGGAAGUAAAAAGAAAUAAAAUAAAUUGCACGCAAUAGCUACAACAACACUUAAAUAAUGAGCAACAAAUAAAACUUUAAAAUUCAACAACUACACAAAUAAUUUAUAUUUGGCAAAAUUACGUAAAAAUCAACAAGUCAAACAGCCAGCAGCGAAAGGAGCGGUCAACGAGUAGUGGGCAACCAAAAAUUGGCAGAGUAAAAUAAAAAUAUACAAAAAAAAUUUAAUAUACAAAAUUUAAAUAUAUUAGUUACAACUGUCAAACAGCACAGACUGGUAACUGAUACCGGAAAUUAAGUUUGUGCCAGAAGAAGUUGUUCAAUUCAGCCGCUGAUGUGCUGCGGUCUAGCAAGUUUUAUAGCAGUUCAUCGUAAGAAAGCAAAAUGAAGCCAUUCACACAACUCGUCUAUGCGGCGCUGCAAAUAAUCACAAUCACCACAUUGGUCACACAUGGUGCACAAAUACCAACAGCCACGAGUAAGUAAUGCAUUUUUGCACAAAAUUAAUUUAUCAAAAUCAAUAUUGGAAAAUAAUUACAAUAAGUCGAACAAUCCAAUACCUAUUAACCUAAAUUGAAUGAAGAAAUGUGAAUUGAGUGUCUGUAUCUGUGUCUGAGAGUUAUGUUUGUACAAGUAUUAAUACCUUUUUACUUUAUGUUAAUUAAAAUAUAUUGUGUGCAUGAUUUUCACCAUUUCUCUCGACUUACAUGCUUUGAGCUGUCAGAAAUAAAUACAGGAAAUGAAAGGAGAAAUGGGUUUCUAUUGAAAUAAAUAUAGUUUGCAAAUUAAUUUUGUUUUUUAAAUUAAUGUAAACAAUUGCAAUGUUAUAAAACUCAGUAAACGCGAUGCAAAUUAUUACAUUGGGCUAUUAGCCAGAUUGAAUGCGUCUGUUCAACUGAUAUGCACAGAACCACACUCAUUGUAAUUUUAUGAUAAAAUGCUCUCUCUUAAGGAUUGUUAAAACUACUAAUGACAAAAUGAAAAAAAUAACAAAUUAAGGCUUAUUCUCCUCUGUGCCUCUAUAUACCUUUUCUACGAUCUCGUUGAAACUAAGUUACGCUGUUUUGCAACCGCACGCAAAGAUUGUGAGAA